UGUUGUAGCUACCUGGGAGCAGACGGGGCGCACCUGGAAGUGAGGUGCGCCUUCAUUCACCUCCAGAAAAGUCCGCUCGGUUUUCACUAUCUGAUGACAUAUUAAUUAGAUAGGAGAGAGACCGCGGACUUUGGCAGUGGAUGAAUAAUUAAACCGCAGUUUACAGAAGAGCUGACAUGAGGAGCUGAGCCAAGCAGUAGCGGUGGCGGAGUGCGUCUACUUCCCGCCUGUGUCCUGUGACAAAAAAAACGUAGACCAGGUCCACAGGUGUUUUUAAUAUUUUUGCUUUUUCAUGUCAUUUGACCUGAACACACUGCACUGUGAUCAUGCUCGGGGCGGAGAGCAGGCUGGAAAGCCGGCUGAAGAAGCUGGAGUCCCUAAUGAGGGACCCGCAGUCGGCUCUAAACUUGGAAACCCUGCUGGAUUCCAUGAAUGCAUUGGCUAAUGAUUUGAACUACCCUGCCCUGCGGAAAAACAAGAACAUAGACUCAUUUCUGAACCGAUAUGAAAAGGCGGUGAGUCAGCUGCGAGAGCUGCAGGUGAAGCUUGAAGACUUUGAAAAGGUGAAGCUGAUCGGGAGAGGAGCCUAUGGAGAAGUGCAGCUGGUCCGUCACAAGGCCUCUCAGAAGGUUUACGCCAUGAAGCAGCUGAACAAAUUUGAGAUGAUCAAGCGGUCAGACUCGGCCUUCUUCUGGGAGGAGAGGCACAUCAUGGCCUUUUCCAGCAGCCCCUGGGUCGUUCAGCUGUGCUGUGCUUUCCAAGACGACCGUCACCUCUAUAUGGUGAUGGAGUUCAUGCCCGGAGGCGACCUGGUCACACUCACAAUGAACUAUGACAUACCAGAGAAGUGGGCUCGCUUCUACACGGCUGAAGUGGUGCUGGCGCUAGACGCCAUCCACUCCAUGGGCUUCAUCCACCGUGACGUUAAACCCGACAAUAUGCUGCUAGACCAACAUGGACACCUCAAACUGGCCGACUUUGGAACAUGCAUGAAGAUGGACUCGACGGGCAUGGUGCACUGUGACACAGCUGUGGGCACACCAGACUACAUCUCCCCUGAGGUGCUCCAGUCUCAGGGUGGCGAUGGUAACUACGGCCGGGAGUGUGACUGGUGGUCUGUAGGAGUAUUUAUCUAUGAGUUGCUGGUUGGUGAAACUCCGUUCUAUGCCGAGUCCUUGGUUGGAACUUAUGGAAAGAUCAUGAACCACAAGAACUCCCUCAUCUUCCCAGACGAUGUAGAGAUGUCUACGGAAGCCAAAGCCCUGAUCUGUGCCUUUCUUACUGACAGGACGGUUCGUCUAGGCCGCACUGGAGUGGAUGAGAUCAAAUGCCACCCCUUCUUCAAGAGCGACCAGUGGACCUUUGACAACAUCCGAGAGACUGUGGCCCCAGUUGUGCCAGAGCUGAGCAGUGACAUAGACACCACUAACUUUGAUGACAUAGAGGUUGAUAAAGGAGAUGCUGAGACCUUUCCUCCUCCCAAAGCCUUUGUGGGCAACCAGCUACCAUUCGUCGGCUUCACUUACUUCAAGGAGGACCAGCUGCUGAAGGGAAGCAAGAGCGGCUCUGUGGAGGAUAUAGAAGACUGUAAGGAAAACUCUGAGGAUAAAGAGUAUUGCUCGGACAGUAAGAAAGAGCUGCAGAAAAAGCUUCAUCAGCUGGAGGAGCAGCUCGACCAUGAGAUGCAGGCCAAAGAUGAGCUGGAGCACAAGUGCAAAAACGCCACCAACCGUUUAGACAAGCUGGUCAAAGAAUUAGAUAAGGAGAUGAACAGCAGGCAGAGAGUCGAGGCGUCGCUGAGGCAGCUGGAGAGGGAGCGAGCUCUGCUGCAGCACCAGAGCGCCGAAAACCUGCGCAAGGUGGAGCUUGAGACCGACAGGAAGCGCAGCCUGGAGAAUGAACUGAACAACCUGAGGGACCAGCUAGAAGAUCUCAGGAAGAGGAACCAGAAUUCCCACAUAUCCAGUGAGAAGAACAUCCAACUGCAGAAACAGCUUGAGGAGGCCAACGCCGUGCUUCAGGCCGAGCAGGAGGCGGCAGCGCGCCUGAAGAAGAGUCAAGGCGAGGUACAGAAGCAGGCCCAGAACCUGGAGGUCAGCCUCAGGGAGAUGCAGGAAAAGUGCAGCCAGCUGGAAAAUGGCAAGAUGGAGCUGGAGAAGCAGCUGAUGGGGCUGCAGGCCAAGCUGGAGGAGGAGGGAAGAGCCCGCAACCUCGGGACAGAAACUAUUACUGACCUACAGGGACGCAUCUCUGGCCUGGAAGAAGAGGUGAAAGAGUUGAAGUCGUCUCUCUCCAAGGUCCAGUCGGAAAAGAAGCAGCUACAAGAGAAGCUCAAUGACCUCGAGAAGGAAAAGAGCAACCAAGAGAUCGACCUGACCUUCAAGCUGAAGUCGCUCCAGCAGAGUCUGGAGCAGGAGGAGGCCGAGCACAAGGCCACCAAGGCCAAGCUCGCUGAUAAAAACAACAUCUACCAGUCCAUCGAGGAGGCAAAGUCUGAGGCCUUUAAAGAGGUGGAGUGCACCCUGCAGGAGGAGCGCAGCUUGAAGCUGCAGGUGGAGGGCAGGCUGCUGCAGCUAGAGAAGGACCACUCCAUGCUGGACUGUGACUACAAGCAGGCGCGGCACAAGCUGGAUGAGGUGCAGGCACAGAAGGAGAAACUCUGUGAAGAGGUGAAGAACCUGAAUUUACGUCUGGAGCAGGAGAUCCACAAGCGGAGUCUGAGCCUGAGCGAUCUGAAGAUGCAGAACCAGCAGGUGUCGGUGCUCCGCUCCUCCGAGAAACAGCUCAAACAGGAGCUCAACCACCUGCUGGACAUGAAGCAGAUCCUGGAGAAACACAACCAGGAGCUGCGCAGGGAGAAGCAGGAGGCUGACAGCCAGCUGAAGGAAUUGAAGGACCAAUUGGAGGCAGAGCAAUAUUUCACGACCCUUUACAAGACGCAGAUCCGUGAGCUGAAGGACGAGUGCAAUGAGAGAAACAAGCUGUACAAAGAGGCACAGCAGCGACUGGCGGAGUAUCAGGAGGAGAGGGACUCGAUGGCGGCCCAGCUGGAAACCAGUCUGACCAAGGCGGACUCUGAGCAGCUGGCUCGCUCCAUCGCUGAGGAGCAGUACUCUGACCUGGAGAAGGAGAAGAUCAUGAAGGAGCUGGAGAUCAAAGACAUGAUGGCGAGACACAAACAGGAGCUCGGCGACAAGGAGGCCACCAUCAGCUCGCUGGAAGAGUCCAAUCGCACUCUGACAGUGGAUGUCGCUAACCUGGCCAGCGAGAAGGAGGAGCUCAACAACCAGCUGAAAGACAUGCAGCAACAGCUCCAGAGGGCCAGGGAGGAGGAGAAGCAGAUGAGCUCAGUCAAAGUGUCCUUUGAAAAGCAGCUGCAGAAUGAAAGGACACUAAAAAUUCAGGCUGUCAACAAGCUGGCAGAGGUGAUGAACAGGAGGGAGACGGUGAAGGGAGGCCACCGGAGCACCGGCACCGAGGUGCACAGGAAGGAGAAGGAGAACAGGAAGCUGCAGCUGGAGCUGAGAGCGGAGAAGGAGAAGCUCAACAGCACAAUCAUCAAAUACCAGAGAGAGCUGACUGAGAUGCAAGCGCUGAUAGCAGAAGAGAACCAGGUGCGUUUGGAGCUUCAGAUGGCGUUGGACAGCAAGGACAGCGACCUCGAGCAGCUUCGGUGCCAGCUCACCUCCCUCAGCGUUCACUCUCUCGACUCCACCAGCAUCAGCAGCGGCAACGACCUGGACAUGGUUGACGGAUAUCCAGUGCGCAUUACUCACUCUCGCACCUCAGAAUCUAUGUCCUUCACCUACCAGCGCACGCACAAAUCUGUCUGCAUCGACACCCGGCCUAACCUUCACCAGGCCCGUCCUCUCUUUGACUCUGAGUCUGACUCUGAGGAUGAAGGAGAAUAUGACGGGCAGGUGGAGCAGGGACACCGUCCCCUGGCCCUCACCUAUGAACAGUCCCCUGAGCCCGAACCGGCAGACGCCAGGCUGGAAGGUUGGAUUUCACUUCCUACCAAGAACACAAAGCGGUUUGGCUGGGACAAAAAAUAUGUCGUGGUGAGCAGUAAAAAGAUCCUGUUCUAUCACAGUGAGCAAGACCGAGAGCAGGCCAACCCUUUCAUGACGCUGGACAUUGAUAAGCUGUUUCAUGUCCGACCUGUCACUCACACGGAUGUGUAUCGUGCAGAUGCCAAAGAAAUUCCAAGGAUAUUCCAGAUCCUCUAUGCCAAUGAAGGUGAGAGCAAGCGGGAACAGGAGGUCGUAGUGGAGCCCACGCCGUUCGGUGACCGCGCCUCCUACAUCAGCCACAAGGGCCACGAGUUCAUCCUCACUCUCUAUCACUUCCCGUCCAGCUGUGAGGCCUGCACUCGGCCGCUGUGGCACGUCUUCAAGCCCCCGCCGGCCCUCGAGUGCCGCCGCUGCCACACCAAGUGCCACAAAGACCACCUGGACAGGAAGGAGGAAGUUAUUGUGCCCUGCAAAGUGAACUAUGACAUGUCCACUGCCAAAGAUCUGCUCCUGCUGACCAGCUCUCAGGAGGAGCAGCAGCGCUGGGUCAGUCACCUCCUCAAACGCAUCCCGAGGAAACCCCUGACAAUGAGUCCUCCCUCUGCAGCGCAAAACAACCCUCCUGAAGCAACGCCGCGGUACUCUCCAAAAAUCUCACCGCGACCUUCACCCAGGGGUUCGCCUCAUAUGUCGGCGCACCGUGGAGCCAUAAAGAUUCAGCCCAGCAGACAGCAGCAGUCAUCAGGGAAGACCAGCACUGGCCCCAUGCUCCGUAUCAUCCUCCACUGACCCCUGACCUCUUCACCUCUGACCCCACCUUUCUAACGUCUCUCAUUCUGGGAGACUAUUGCUUGAGUUUGGCCUGAAAGACUGGAGUUGGUCGUUGGAUGAUGUCGAUAAUGAUGAUGAUGAUAUGUUCUUCUGAAGAAGUGAAAGUGGGGGGACAGAGGUUAACCCUGGCUGAUAAAAGAUGAGUAUUUUCAUCUUUGUGGAUUAAUAACCGCAGCCUGGACGAAGUGCCUGCAUGUGUCAUUUGUUCAAGGAACUAGACUGAAAAAAAAGAAAGCUCUUAUCAUGGACAGAACGAUUCACAGAAAUUGGCUGUCGUCAUGAGAACUGGGACUGUCAUUUUAACAAGAGGAAAAUGAGCAUACUCUUCAUCUUUCAGUGAGACAUCCAAAGAAAAAGAAAAAAAAGCUCAGCUCAGCGCUUGGUGAUUAAAACUGCCUUAUUUUAUAAUCAUCACGCCAAAAAAUUAUUCAGUCAGAUGCAGUGACUAACUUGGAUCUCUAUUCGUGAAGUGUUAGGCAUGUGUGUGAAAAUUUGUACAUAGGAUUAAGAGGUUUGUCUGUGUAUUAUACACAGAAGAUGUAGCUCAUAGUGUAUGGUUGUUUUAUUUUUAUGGAUAUAACUCUGCAGCACAUUAUACAGUACACGCUUGUCCUGUAAAUGUAUGAAUACAGUUUUGCUGAAUAGAGAGAUUUACAUCAUGAUUUUACAUCGUUAUGAGUCUUGAUUUUCAUGGAUGUACUUGGUUACACAAAAUAUGUCCUUUUACAAAAUAAGACAGAAUAAUGAGACUUGAACAGAAAUUAUGUGUUUUCUUUUUGCCAUUCAUGAAAAGUUCAAAUAAAUUCUGUUACCCCGAAAAUGAAUAA